UACGUAGGAUCCAAGCGUUAUCCGGAGUGACUGGGCGUAAAGAGUUGCGUAGGUGGUUAGUAAAGCGAAUAGUGAAACCUGGUGCCUCAACCAUACAGACUAUUAUUCGAACUCACUAACUCGAGAGUAGCAGAGGUAACUGGAAUUUCUUGUGUAGGAGUGAAAUCCGUAGAUAUAAGAAGGAACACCAAUGGCGUAGGCAGGUUACUGGGCUAUUUCUGACACUGAGGCACGAAAGCGUGGGGAGCGAACCGG
rnacentral:rRNA from 1 species